UCAGUGAAUCAUCGAAUCUUUGAACGCACAUUGCGCCCGCCAGUAUUCUGGCGGGCAUGCCUGUUCGAGCGUCAUUACAACCCUCAGGCCCCCGGGCCUGGCGUUGGGGAUCGGCGGAGCCCUCUGUGGGCACACGCCGUCCCCCAAAUACAGUGGCGGUCCCGCCGCAGCUUCCAU
rnacentral:rRNA from 1 species